ACGCGCCGGCGGCGGCGGCGGCGGGACAACCCGGAACCCUUCAGCGCCUGCGCGCUGGCGUGAAAGCCGCUCUCCCCUUCCCCUGGUCAGCGGCCGGGGGCGGGGCGGCCCCGCCCCCUUUUAGUUUCGGUUUCUCGCUCCGCGCCCCUUCUCGCGCCCGCUGCCCGCGCAGCGGCGAGGCCGGAAGCAGGGCGCAGGUCGGUGCGCUCCCCCCAGCAGCGGGGGCUGCGCCUGCGCCGCGUCCCUUCCGGGGGCGGGGCCAGGCGGAUUCCCGCUCCGACGGCGCCUCCCCGCCGCGACGCUGCUCCGCCCGUCACCGCUCUAAACGAAACGGAGCGAGCAGUCGCCGGCAGCUGGCGGGUAAGCCUGCGGGCGCGUGCGCGGCAGCGCGAGACUGAAGCGCCCGGCAGGAAGGAGCCCCGAGAGGCGGGCGGGAAGCCGGCCUGCGAGAGGUCCGCGCCUGGGGCGUACGUGCUGUCGCCACCGGCGGGGUACUCGCCGGAACAGGGGGGACUAGGGGCUCUCUUCUCAAAAACGAAGCAUCAUAAAAGCCAUCGAGCUUCUCAACAACGGCCGCCUGCCGUCUGCUCAGCUCAUACUUAGGGGCUCUGGAUUUUCAUCUGCCUUCGUGAUACGCAGGAGGGGGUGAGACCGACUAGAAAAAAGUCAACAAAACCCACAGGAGCAACGUCACCUGACCUCUGAUGAGUCAUUAGAGAAACAUGAUCAGCCUUUUGCUACCAGUGCUACAGGGAGACUCUCUCUUGAUGCAGAACUGCUCAGCAAAGGGAACAAAUGAGGUAUCGGAGAACUGAUUUACUUAAGCUAUUCCCCCUAAAUAAGAUGUCAUCACCCUAACUAUUUUCACCUAUCAAAACUACCUCCAUUCUCUCUACUUCAGUCUGAUAAUGUUUCCCCAAAUGUGAUCCAGGAAAGCAAAAUAAACCAUCUGCUGUAGAUACAAAGAAUUAAUGCUCUAAAGGAGACAAUUCACCAGGCAUGAAAGUGGUUUAAAAUUAGUAAAUUAUAUUCUUGCAGCUGCCAGAUGUGAAGUGAAAAAGGAUUAGAACUUGUAAAAUACUUCCCCUCUUGUGAAAAACAUCUUUUUGAAGAGUUGACAGCCCUCUGGAUUACAGACUGAGGACUGGGUGCCCAUCGAGACAGACAAACUGGAAUUUCAGCCUGCAUAAGGUCCUUCCACAGGUUUCUUUAUGCCUAGGAAAAAAGGGACAGCACACCUCUACAGAGGCUUACCCCAGUCCUGAGACUUCUGGCCAAGGAGGAAGACAAAACUAAUGUUUGACUCUAUCCAUACAGAUUCUCAAACAGAUUUACAGAACUCUUACUCACACUGUAAAGUUUUAUUUAAUGUGCUGUUACUUGCUCAGAAAGUACAGGAGUGGGGUAACUGCUAUUGUUGAAUUUAUGCUUCCCUAAGAUGACUUCUUCGUGCAAAUACUGAGCAAACAAUUCUUAAGAAGCGAGGAGAAAAGAAGACUCUGAUUUGUAAAGCUACACCAUUUCAUGAUUUUCCUUACAGAAGAUCUACCUAGAACUUUUCUCCACAAGUUUCUUGUGGUCCUUCUGUUAUAAUUUUGAAAUGUUAGUACUCCUAUUCUGUAACAUUUACAACAAAUUCCCUGGAAAAAGUCUGUCAUAAAGCUUUGCAGUCCAUGUGUUGUUUUGGACCUGGACAGAACUGAUCAAAGAAGAUAAUUGUUUAAGCAGCCAGCCAGCCAUAGGCUGUUGUUGUUCAGACUUUUUUUUGUUUGUUUAAAAUGUUGCUGGAGAUCAUGGUGCAGCAGAACUCUGGCUUCUGAGAAUUCACCUGCACUUCUGCACUACUCUGCACUUCUGACAAGCCAGAGUUACCUUAAAGCCACCAACAAAGUUUAAGAAAUAACGUACGGAGAAGAGAAAGAAGCAGUAAACUGAAUACUGGAGAAGAAAAAGCAACAACAGACAGCUUGAGGGCCUUUUCUGAUUGUAACACAAUCAACAAGACACAUAAAAACAUGAAACUGAUUUAGUUCUUUUCAUAGUUCUUAGGCAAACAUGAAAAUUGAUUUAGUUCUUUUCAUUGAGGAGAGAAAAAAAAUAUUUAAAAAAAUCACUUAACCUCCAACUGAUAAUUUUGGACAAAACACUACUUCCACUCUGCAAAUUGAUCAGUAUACAGUCCAAGGCACAAUCAACACUUUUGUCAUAAAAUUACACAAGGAAUGCCAGUUAGGUUCCUUGGUGAAACUUUUGUCAAUGCCGAUGUAAAGACUGAAUUCCUGAGUUCUUAGUGAGUUAGCUGGCUAGCUGGCGUGUUCACACAAAACUGUCAAUUUAAAAAAAACCACAAACGCGCAAGCUGAUUUUUGGACAAUUAUUCUUGUACCUAAAAAAAAAAAAAAAAAAAAAAAAAAAUUAUUUGGCCCCAAACACAGAACUUCAUAAAAUUAGCUUCUUUUUGACUUACCACUUCAGAAAAAAGAAGUUACUCUGCCAUAGGGGUCAUUGACUCUGGCUGUACUGGCUUGAACAGCAGCAGAGCGUGCUCAUACUGUGUAUUUUUGUAGGAAGGGAGAACAAAGAAGAAAUCACUAUAUAGUUGAAAUUUCAGGGUGAAAAGGGAAAAGAAGAUCAGUUUUAAACUGUUCAAAACAUGCAAAGUUCCCUUCCCAUUUGAUUUAGACUGGUACAAAACACAAGUGUUUUCACUAGGAACACCCAUAUGCUUUCUUGAAAUUUGGAAUCAAUUCAAGCUGAAAGGGAAGCUAAAAAUGUUAUGGGGUAAUGGGCAGAAAGAUGUCAAGCCUUAUCCUUAACACAGUGUUAGCCCAGAGGCAGAACUGAAGUAAAAUAUGACCUCUUGGAUUAGUCUAAGAUAAAAAAGACAGGCAGCAAAUAAUUAAAAUAGUUCCGUUCUGCCAAAUUACAACAAAUACAUAUAAACUUGGUUUGGGCAUCUAUGCAUUUGGAUAAUGAAAGAAAUUUCCAGAGGUGGUGCAGAGCCUACGUCUAACCUCAACACCACCUAAAACGUGUUCUCUACUAAAUUAAACUCAUAAAUGUGGACCUUGUGUUACAGGCUACAUUAUAGGCUUUAUAAGAAUAGUGAUCACAUACGCAAUCACAAUGGUAAAUUGGCUUUGUUCUAGCUAUAAUGGAUACCAGCAGCAGCAACACAGCUGCAAUAGUACAGCUUUAAGUUAGUAAGUACAACAUAGGACACCUGGGCAGCCCAUUAGAUUUCAUGUUGCCAUAGCUUCAAUUCUAACAUAUCUACAUUAUCACGAAAAAAAGUAGCUUGGGUUUUAUGUACAUGUUUCAAUCAUACUCAACUGUUCUAUAAACAGCGCCACAGACAACCAAAUGCAGUUAGCACAGGGUACAGCAAUGCUUUCUAAAAAAAAAAAAAAAAUAAUUAAAACCAGCGUCUUUCAUGAUCUUCAUACCAUAUUUGUUUCUUUUCUGGUCAACUACUUACUAAUACCCUACAGUACAAUAGCAAGAUAUAAGACACAAUCCCUUAACUGUCAAAAGUAAAGAUUUUACAGACAUCCUGGCUGCUUUGCACCAACUAGGUGGCUAAUCUCACCAACAAGCUCACCAAAAGCAGCCUUGGAAAAGGGUUUCUUUGAAAGACAGCACUGAUAAUGCAGUCCCUUGAAUGGGGCCAGCAGAGGUAACAGAUCUGGGGACACCGACACAGAGGAUUACCAGCUAAAGGCUCUGCGCCGCAACAGUGCAAUCUAUAAUAUUGAGUUAUACAGACAGGAAAUCCUAUAGUUUGCCUGACUUUUUGAAUUUUAUUUAACCCCCCCCCCCCCCAAAACUGAGCAGUUUUUAAUAAUUAUCAUGUUCUUAAAGCAUUUUCUUUCUGAGAAAGAGAUUACACCGAGACAGACCUGAAGAAAGGUUAAUCAUCUUUCACCCACCUGCAAGGAAGAUCAACAGUCAGAAUCUGCAUCACCAAACAGUUUUCCACUGUGGUUUAACAGGGAAACAAUGCU